UUGCUCCCUUUAGCAGUAUAUAUACUAAAACUGGAACAAUACAGGUUACCUAGUAUGGCCCCUGAGCAAGGAUGACAUGCAAAUUCAUGUUUCAGUGAAAAAAAAU